rnacentral:lncRNA from 1 species
AAUCUCCCCUCAGCACCCUGGAGAUAAGAGCCUAAGAGAGAAGUUUGAAGAAGAAUUUCUUGAAACGAGAAUAAUAUGAAAAGUUGCAGAAGGAUGGAUGCUUGCUUUUCGGCCAAGUGUCUUUGGUUGAAAUGGAUGGAAUGGUGCUGACGCAGACUAGAGCCAUCCUCAACUAUCUUGCUGAGAAGUACAACUUCUAUGGGAAGGACCUGAGGGAAAAAGUCAGAUUUUGAAAGACCAUGGAGAGGAUUUUCUUGUUGGCAACAAAUUCAGCUGGGCAGACAUACAGCUGUUAGAAGCUAUUUUAAUGGUGGAAGAACUCAAAGCUUCUGUUCUUUCUGACUUCCCUCUGCUAAAGGUUCGAGUGCAGUGGCAUGAUCAUGGCUCACUGCAGACUUGACCUCUUGGCCUCAAGCGAUCCUCCCACCUCAUCCUCCAGAGUAGCUGGGACCACAGGCAUUUAAAAUAAGAAUCAGCAACAUCCCUACAAUUAAGAAGUUCCUGCAGCCUGGGAGUCAGAGGAAGCCACCCCCGAUACCCACUAUGUUGAACUUGCCAGGAAGAUAGUGCUGCUCUAAUGGCAGCAGGUUGCGUGAUGACAAACAUGAUGAUCCAGUCACAGCACCAGCAUGUGCUGUCUGCAGAGGAUAAUAGAAGCAAACUGUAGAUCCCAGGAGCAAAGUGUCUGAAAAGAACAAAACCAUGCUGCCAUUAACAGCAACGCUGAUUAAAUGUAGUAUAAAAUCA